AAAUAAACGGAAAUAACCGAAAAAGAACGGUACGGCGCAUUAUCUUAAUGCGCCGUACCGUUCUUUUAU
rnacentral:sRNA from 1 species